CGAAUCAAGUUCUUGGUGGUAUUUAGCAUACUCGCUACGUGUUCUUGAGUAGGCCAUCUUCGUCAAAAUUUCCAAGGAACGAUUCCUUUCAUCAGAGAUUGGAAAUAUCUUUCAGUGUCACUUUUUUUCCUGUCGUUUUCUCAACUUUUUCACGGAGAAGUUUCGGAUUUGCUUUCAGUUGAAUUGCUUCUUCAAUUUCUUUUUUAUGGGCAGUGCUUACACUUCUCUGCUUUGGAAGAUGGUCAAAGACGUCUUGUAUCAGUUCAUGGUUAUGUUCUUCUUUGAACCGAGACACUUCCAGUGUUUGACAACCAGGGGAUAACUUGAUGAAGAUCUCAAAUGGGCAUCCUUGCCUAAAUGAUUUUGUGUUUCUUUUCCUCGUCUGGCUGGACCUCUUUGGUUUGUCCCCAAAAAUACAUUUCAUGAACACAUAAUCAUAUYUUAAGGAGUGCUUUGCAUAAGCAAUUUUCUUGGGUGUUUUCUUUUGUGCUGCCUCGAGUGUUUUGGAAUCAUAUUUCCACAGUGAACAGAAAUGGGAUUUUUCGUACGUGCUAAUUAAUUCCUCCAAUUCCUGUUCACUGUGUAUCUUUUUUCCUACAUAGAAAGGCUCUUUCUCAUUAUCAUCGACGUGUUUUCCACUGGCACCACCUUCAGCUGCACCUUCAGUAUUUGACCCAGCACCAGCUUGUUGCACUUUACCAUAAUUACCGCAACUAUUAUAACUACCUACAGUUCCAUCUGUAUAUACUUGUGGAUUUACAUCAUCGYCUUCAUCUGCUACUUUAGUAGUGUCAAAGUCCAGAUUCCUGUCAUGAUCAGCAGCAUCACUGACAUCCCAUCCAUCUGUAUCUUGAUUCCCCACAGGAUCCUGCAGUGAGCUUGCAUUUCGCAUGCACUUUUCACUCUCAUCAAGGGUUUCUCCAACUUUAUCUAUAUCAUCAGUGGCACAGGUAGAGUAAUCAGUUUUUUGAGCAUCAUCAUCAUCAUCAUCAGUACUAUGGUAUAUUUCAGUAUCAUUAUAAGUCUCACUACCACCAUCGCCAUAAGUCUCUGCCCACUCGGAAAUUAAUGAACUGCAAGAAGAGUAUAACAAGUUUACUAGGCCAAUAGUCAAUGGUGAAGCAAUUUCCCUGAGGCUGUAAUUUGUAUUGUUGUUUGAUUAAUUUUCUCUCAAAAAAUGUAUACAUCCAAGACACAAGAAUUGCAAAGUAUUUAUAUUGUGCAUAURGUGCUUUGUGGCUUUGCAGCCACAAAGAUAGAUAAAUGCCUUUUCAUAUAGAUUUUAUUUUUGGUAAAGUCUGUGUAAAUAUGUCAGCAAUAUAGCAAUAAAGAGCAGUACACUUA